CAGCGUCACGAGUGGCAUCCAUUUUUAUUGGGUCUAAAGUGUCCGUAGCUGGAUUUGAAAGUCUUCUGUGAAAUCGUUGGGCUUAACUUAACACAUUGCAGGAGAAACUCCAAAUCUUGAGACCGGGAGGGGCUAGAGGUAUUCCUAGGGUAGCGGUAAAAUGCGAUAAUCCUGGGAGGACCACCUGUGGCGAAGGCGUCUAGCUAGAACGGGUCUGACAGUGAGGGACGAAGGCUAGGGGAGCGAUCCGGAUUAGAGACCCGAGUAGUCC
rnacentral:rRNA from 1 species